rnacentral:rRNA from 1 species
UGGGGAAUAUUGCACAAUGGGGGAAACCCGUGAUGCAGCAACGCCGCGUGAGUGAGGAAGUAUUUCGGUAUGUAAAGCUCUAUCAGCAGGGAAUAGAAAAGAAGGUACCUGAAAAGAAGCCCCGGCUAACUACGUGCC